AUACCAAUCGUGGCCUUGUUUACUUUUGGUUAGGUAGUGAUUGUGUAUAUAAAAAGAUGUUAUUCGGCAUAAUAUAUAUAUCCAGCUCUACAUUUGUUCUUUCGAUUUUCUUGUAUUAAUGUCGCAGUUAUACUCUCUUGAAAACAUGCAGGAGAUGCUAAAGCUAGCUGUCAAAUACAACAAAGCAGUUCAAGAUGAGGAUGAAUUGCCACCGGAAAAACUAGCAAUUGCGAACGUGGGAAAGCAAGACGCAAAGAAGCAUCUCGAGGAGCACGUCUCGAACUUGAUGUCUUCAAACAUCGUUCAGACAUUAGGCACGAUGCUCGACACAGUUGUUUUCUAGAGAGAGAGAGAGAGAUAUCACAAAAUCUUUGAUUUGGUUGCUAGUUUGACUAUGUUGUAUCAACAUCUGAUCAUUUGUACUCAGCAACAUUUCCCAUUCCAUGAAAUUCAGCUUUUUAUGGACAUACAAAAAACGCAAAUUCGAUAGACAUAACCGUCGUCUGAAGCAAAAUUUAUUAAAUGAAUCGUAACUUAUUAUGGUUCGAUACUAUUCGCUAGUGUCGAAGCAUAUGCAGGUGGCAUAUCCCUAUUGAAGAAAGCAGCCAUUCUUGUCAUCCUCUCUUUAGCUCUCUCGCCAUUCAAGUCGUGCAAAUGAAAGCAAUGCCCCUCCCCUUCGACUUCAUGGAUCUCAACCGUACCCAACCACCCACUCCGACUCAACGCAUCGAAAUAAAGCCUCCCUCUAUCCUUCAAAAUAUCCUUCUCGGCCACACAAACCAGCACUCUCCAGCACCCGAGACCCGCCAAACCCGGCCCAACCGGGUCGAUCCACGGGUCGUCUACCGGGCACGACGGACAAACCAACGGCCACAGCCGGUCCACGUAUGCCUUCCUGUCUGGGUCGAGCGCCUCCGACCCGAUCGGAUCUGGCCCCCAGAAAUAUGGAUCCACCAAUGCGAUCCCAAGAAUUUCCAAUUUCACCCCUGCGUCGGGAUUCCCGACCGCCAUGGCCAAGUUGUGCGCUAUGUUGCCGCCCGCGCUGUCGCCGGAGAGGAAAACUCGCCGGAAGUCCGCAUGGCGGUUGAGGAGCGGCUCAGGCCCGUCGCCGCUACUGUGAGCCGACACCCACUGGAGCGCGGCCCAUGAGUCCUCGUAGCCAAUGGGGAGAGGGUGCUCCGGAGCCCUCCUGUAGUGCACGGAAACUGCGAUGACUUGGGAUUCGGCUACGAGGGCAUUCAUGUAAUUGUGGUAGAGAGGAGAAGAAGGGGUGUACACGAAGAAUGCACCCCCGUGGAAAUAAACAAGAAGAGGGAGCUUCUGAUUGGCAGUGGUGAGUUUUGGCAGGUAGAUUCGGACAUAAACCUCGGUUUCCGGGAUUAUGUCUUUUACGUCCUUUGAGGAAACGCCCGUUUGAGGAUCGGUGCCAGGUGGCGUGGUGUCGGUUCCGGUUAAUCUUUCGACGUGGCCGUUUUUGUAGACUUUGAUAUGUGGUGGAAACUCAUAGUCUAGCUCAUUGAUGGUUGCAGCCAUUGUAGAGGAAGAGAGUUAUUUUCAGAGGAUAGUUUUUUUUUCCCAAUGGAUAUGAGUUGUGAUGUUUUUCCUCCACACCUUUGUGUAUUUAUAACAAAAUUGAUGGAUGUAUUGGGUCAAUGAGACGUUGACUAAACUAACCAAGGUUCAGUUCUGACCUGAAUACUGAUUUUUUAUGAUACGGGAUCUUGGGAGAAACAUGUAAAUAUUAAUAGUAUAGGGGUGUAUUUAUAAAUAUUCCAUAAUAAACAUAUAUAAGUUUUUGUUUAUAUAUAAAUUCUUUUUAUAUAUUUUGUACAAACAUAUUAAAAAUAAAUUUUACUAUCAACUAUUAAUUUGCAAUUGAUCAUUAAAUCAUGUAAAUAAUUUGAGAAACAACAAAAAUGUUUGAAAAUUUGCUAUUCAUUUUCAAACGUGUUUCUAACUUUUUAGAAAUUGCAAAAUGACCCGUAAGGUGUCCGGCAGGUGUCCUCGAGUUUCCGAUACGAAACGCAAAAACGUUGAGAAGUUGAAAUUUCUGUGCUUCAUAAGCUUUAAUAUGGUGCGAUAUUAUUUCAACUACAUAUGUUAUCGGAAUACAAAAUUCAUUCGUGUAUAUUUACCCUUCGACCAAUCUUUCUCCACGACCAAGAAUUAGAUGGAGACUUGGGCAGAGGAGGCUGCAACAAAGUCUUCCGACAAAGGCCGAACGGCCACCCUUCACACUCAAUAAUCAUCUCCCGAAUAAUAAAAGAUUGCUUGGCGACGAAGUAAUCCCGAUUAACAUGGGUCCCACUUAAGCUCGAAGAUCGAGAAAAACGUGUUUUAACAGAGAAUGAUUCGUCGAAGCUAGUGGCGCUCGAGCAUCGUGAGAGCCUACUGCAUGCAGAGAGAAACUCCUCUCUGUUUUUUCCACAGUUGCUCCUUUUUUCGGUUGCUUGUGGAGAUAGAGGCCAUUUAAAGCUAUCUAUUCCGAUUCGGGAUUUUCUUUGUUUGCGUUUUGAUUCGAUGUAUUUACCUACGAUUGCUGAAAUGAAUACCUGUUAUACAACCAAAAAAAAAAAAGAUUGUUACGACAAAUACGAUGGAAUUUUCAAAGAUAAAAUGAAGAGAUGAAGUGAGUUUUAUUACCUCUUCUUGUUGGUCGAAAUCGGUGAUCGGCUCCGCUUCUUCGGGGAUUGAAUCGGGUCGAAAAGAACGACGUUUGGUGAAUAAAUCCUUGAGGAAUUUGAAUCUCUUGAAGGGAUUUGGUGGCUCUUCUUGAUAAAACAUAUUCAUCAUGUUUUUAGGUGGAAAAGUGAGGUGUGUGUAUAGUACUACUAUUAGUACACAACAAUCUUUGGGGUGAAGCCAAAGUUAAAAGAAAAGAUACAAAAGUUCUAACAUAUAUAUAUAUAUAUAUAUAUAUAUAUAUAUAUAUAUAUAUAUAUAUAUAUAUAUAUAUAUAUAAGUGUAAAUUACGGCCACCAGCCUGAGAUAAUGUUAAAAUACGAAAAUAUCCCUCAUGUUUGGGUAACUACAGUCGCUUCUCAACUAUUACACGUUCACCCUUAUGGUGUCAAAUUCAACAGACUCUUCUAGAUUCAGGCCGUGGAAUGUUCUCUAGUUUGUACUCGUUUCGGGUUUCGAGUUUCUGAAUGCACCAUAAUCUGAUAUUUACAAGGCAAGAGAUACACAUCUUAUGAUCAUCUUAUUUCAAAAUGUGUAGCUCGAAUGUGAUAAAACGGGUACAAACUGGAGAAUAUUCCACAUAAUCUAGAAGAUUCCACAAAAUUUGACACCACAAGGGUGAACGUGUAAGAAAAUUCCUCGCUGAGGGGAGUGGUUGUAAUUACCCAAAUACGAGGUUUUUUUUUCCUUCGGAAUUUGACCUUAUCUCAAGGGUGGCUGAGAGGAAUGGAAUAACAAUUAGUCUUCUUACUCAUUUUGCACAAUUCCAUCGAUCAAAACUCGAACUAUAUAUCGUUAAUACGAUCGAAAAGGUGCUGCAACUGACAACUAACUAAUAAAACCAAUACCGUUCAAACACUACGAUAACUCUAUUUUUAAAAUUAUUAGAUCCGAAACCAUCAUAUACGAGAUGUAGGAACUUAUAAGACGGAGUCUUUUAACUAAUCUCUAGCCAAAGAUGAAAUAUAACCUCCACUCUCCCUCGUUAUCGGACCGAUCGAACAUACGAAAAACAUAUCGAGAAAUUUCAAGAUUUCCAAAAGGGCAGCUAAGUACGAAACGAAACCGUAUCAAGAACUGCAUUUUUAUUUAAAAAAAACAAAAAAGGGGAAUCAAUUAGGAGAUUUCUGAAGCUGUUGUGAUGUGACAGAAAUAAGAGAUUGAAGCUUCGCAACGGCAAACGUCUUGUGAGGCGGGCAUUUCGACAGAGCAACGUUUAACGAUAUUACAGCUUCGUCGACGUUACCUGCAGCCAUGGAAGCCAUCCCUGCCUUGUAAGCUUCAUCCGCCAUUCGAGCAUCGAAUUCCGAAUACGCCGACGAUUUGUUGGAAAAAACGGGAGCACGAGCGUACUCGAGAGAAGCAAUGGCGGAGUUAAUCUCCGCCAUCAACACCUCCGGUGGAUCAACGGCUACGAUCUUCACACCGUCGAAUACAUUCCACGGAUGCUUCUUUUCUACAGCACUCAUUCAUUCGAUCGUACGACAAGUUCUCGUCGAUAAUCGAGAACUCUCGUUUAGGCUACCAAUACUGCAUUAUCAGUUCAUUUAACAGCUACAUAUCAUUGCAAUAAAAAUAUAUAAUUAACUGUGAUUAAAUCUAAAAGCAGCAAAUCUAUAUAUCCACAGCUAAUCAAGAAAUUAAUUUCAUUUAUAAAUAAACAAUAUAAUAUAUAUAAUAAUCAGAAAUAGCUCAACCACAUAUAUAAUAUAUUUCCCCAACAUGCCUGAUUCACAUAAACGACGCAGUUUGAUAAAUUCACAAGUAAUUAACAAAGAUGAAAUUUAAAAAAAAAAAAAUUAAAAUUAAAGGAAAAAUAUAUAGUAAGCCACUCAUAUAUCAGCUGCAAGAUAGAUGAUCUAAACUGAAUAUGAUGUUAGAAAUCGAACCUUUGAGGAAGAAAA
rnacentral:lncRNA from 1 species